rnacentral:rRNA from 1 species
AGAGUUUGAUCCUGGCUCAGGAUGAACGCUGGCGGCGUGCUUAACACAUGCAAGUCGAACGAGCUGGCAGAUAGCAGAUAGCCGAUGGCAGAUGGUUCGCCAUCAGCCACAAGUUAUCAGCAAUCAGUCAGUUAGUGGCGUACGGGUGAGUAACACGUAGGUGACCUACCCCGAAGAGGGGGAUAACUACUGGAAACGGUAGCUAAUACCCCAUAUGGUCGGCGAUUCGUUUCGCUGAUAAAAGCUCCGGCGCUUCGGGAGGGGCCUGCGGCCGAUUAGCUAGUUGGUGGGGUAAUGGCUCACCAAGGCGAUGAUCGGUAGCUGGUCUGAGAGGAUGAUCAGCCACACUGGCACUGACACACGGGCCAGACUCCUACGGGAGGCAGCAGUGAGGAAUAUUGCGCAAUGGGCGAAAGCCUGACGCAGCAACGCCGCGUGGGCGAUGAAGGCCUUCGGGUUGUAAAGCCCUUUUCUGAGGGAAGAGGAAGGACGGUACCUUAGGAAUAAGUCUUGGCUAACUACGUGCCAGCAGCCGCGGUAAAACGUAGGAGGCGAGCGUUAUCCGGAUUUACUGGGCGUAAAGCGCGCGCAGGCGGUUCCGUAAGUUGGACGUGAAAUCUUCUGGCUCAACUGGGAGGGGUCGUCCAAUACUGCGGGACUUGAGGUCGGGAGAGGGAAGUGGAAUUCCCGGUGUAGUGGUGGAAUGCGUAGAUAUCGGGAGGAACACCAGUGGCGAAAGCGGCUUCCUGGCCCGCACCUGACGCUCAAGUGCGAAAGCGUGGGGAGCGAACGGGAUUAGAUACCCCGGUAGUCCACGCCGUAAACGAUGGGUACUAGGUGUUGGUGGUAUUGACCCCAUCAGUGCCGAANCUAACGCGAUUAGUACCCCGCCUGGGGACUACNANCGCAAGCUUAAAACUCNAAGAAUUGACGGGGGCCCGCACAAGCAGCG